rnacentral:rRNA from 1 species
GAAUUUUGGACAAUGGGGGCAACCCUGAUCCAGCCAUCCCGCGUGUGCGAUGAAGGCCUUCGGGUUGUAAAGCACUUUUGGCAGGGAAGAAACGGCACUGGCUAAUCCCUGGAGCUGCUGACGGUCCCUGCAGCAUAAUCACCGGCUAACUACGUCCCAGCACCCUGGGUAAUACGUAGGGUGCAAGCGUUAAUCGGAAUUACUGGGCGUAAAGCGUGCGCAGGCGGUUUGGCAAGAAGGAUGUGAAAUCCCAGGGCUUAACCUUGGAACUGCAUUCUUAACUGCCAGGCUAGAGUAUGUCAGAGGGGGGUAGAAUUCCACGUGUAGCAGUGAAAUGCGUAGAGAUGUGGAGGAAUACCGAUGGCGAAGGCAGCCCCCUGGGAUAAUACUGACGCUCAUGCACGAAAGCGUGGGGAGCAAACAG